UGGGUGAUUUGCCCUGUACUUCGGGAUAAGCUUGGGAAACUGGGUCUAAUACCGGAUAGGACAACUUUUUGGAUAUUGUUGUGGAAAGCUUUUGCGGUAUGGGAUGAGCUCGCGGCCUAUCAGCUUGUUGGUGGGGUAAUGGCCUACCAAGGCGUCGACGGGUAGCCGGCCUGAGAGGGUGUACGGCCACAUUGGGACUGAGAUACGGCCCAGACUCCUACGGGAGGCAGCAGUGGGGAAUAUUGCACAAUGGGCGCAAGCCUGAUGCAGCGACGCCGCGUGGGGGAUGAAGGCCUUCGGGUUGUAAACUCCUUUCGCUAGGGACGAAGCAUUUUUGUGACGGUACCUGGAGAAGAAGCACCGGCUAACUACGUGCCAGCAGCCGCGGUAAUACGUAGGGUGCGAGCGUUGUCCGGAAUUACUGGGCGUAAAGAGCUCGUAGGUGGUUUGUCGCGUCGUUUGUGUAAGUCCACAGCUUAACUGUGGGACUGCAGGCGAUACGGGCAUAACUUGAGUGCUGUAGGGGAGACUGGAAUUCCUGGUGUAGCGGUGAAAUGCGCAGAUAUCAGGAGGAACACCGAUGGCGAAGGCAGGU
rnacentral:rRNA from 1 species